UACGUAGGGGGCAAGCGUUGUUCGGAAUUACUGGGCGUAAAGGGCGCGUAGGCGGCACGGCAAGUCAGGAGUGAAAGGCCUGGGCUCAACCGAGGAACUGCUUCUGAGACUGCCGAGCUAGAGUGCAGAAGGGGCAACUGGAAUUCCCAGUGUAGCGGUGAAAUGCGUAGAUAUUGGGAAGAACACCUGAGGCGAAGGCGGGUUGCUGGGCUGACACUGACGCUGAGGCGCGAAAGCCAGGGGAGCAAACGGG
rnacentral:rRNA from 1 species